UGUUAUCUACAACAUGGAAGAUUUUUUUGGCGAUUCUGAUCAAAAUAGAACAAACAAGGGUCUUCAAUCAUCCAAGCAACAAUCUGUCUCCGUUGCUUGAGUUUCAGAUACCCUGAAAUGGUGGCAGCAACAGAUUUUAUCAAGACUUUGAUAUAUCUUAGCAAUGACAUCUUCUUUUGCAAUAGGAAUUGAAUUUCUGGUAUUCUGGAUCAAUUAAUGGAGAAAUGCAUAAUAGGAAAGAGUUUGUGGUAUAGUACAACAAGAAUACCAGUGUCCUUGUUAGUUAGUUAACUGUCAUUUGAUAUGAUACUAUGUUAAAUUAUGAAACAAUCAUUGGGAUAGACUUCAUAAUAGCUCAUCUUUACAAAUGUAUAGAAGUUACACUCAUAUUUUUUCUCUUCUGGAUAUGUUUUUACUGUUGCGGUGCGGUUCUUUA